CCCGGAGGUGUUGGUAUUUGCGGUCUUGUAUUGUGCGAUCUUGGGGACCAACACGCCUAUGCUCUUGUGACCCAGCAGGGCCGCCAGGUGCUUUGAGGCCUUCCGAGAAGGCGCGCGCUUCGCAGCUUCCAGCCCAACGACGGUGGGACUUGGGGAAAUACCGAGGAGCUUAGGUCUCGGAUGGGAGUUGGCCCGUAUGGCCCACAUUAUUGCUCAGAAGAAGCCAGUUGCAAAAACUGGGAGGCGACAGGCGGAGACGAAGGCAAACAAGCGCUGAAGCUUCACUUCCGCGCCCCAGCGCAACCUAUGGGGGUUCUGGUAGGGAACCAAGCGGACAACUCUGCAGAGACUCAGCUGACCCAGGAGCAGAUGGCAAUGACCUGGAUGCCGCCCAACAGAUGAGAGAUUCCUGGAGGAACAGCAGCUAUUAUGGGCCGUAAUGACAAAAGCCAACAACCAAAGAAGAUUGAGCAGGAAGACAGAAGGAGCCUGGGAACUUGAUGACAUUCUUGAACAGUGGCAUCAGCCCUGGAUGAUAUACCUCUGGACUUCUUGUUAAAUAAGUUCAGUUAACUCCUUUUUAUUUAGCCAACUGGAGUGGAAUUUUCUGUUACAGUGAAUCCAGUACUAUCUGAUGAUACUGGUUAAUACAUAUUAGCACCUGUUAUGUGCCAGGUGCAGUUUUAAGCACUUCAUUUACUAACUGUUUUAAUCCUCACAGUGACCUUUGAGAUAAGCUGGUGGUUCUCAAAGUGUGGUUUCUGAGGUAGCAGCAUCUGCAUCACCUGGAAAGUUGUUAGAAAUGCACAUUUUGGGGUCUUACCAUAGACCUACUGAAUGAGAAAUUCUAGGGAUGGGGAUCCAGCAGUCUGUUUUAACAAGCCCUCCAGGCAAUUCUAAUGAGUGCUAAAGCUUGAUAGUCACAGAGAUAGAACAUUAUUACUAUCUCCAUUUUAGAGAUAAGGAGACUGAGCUGAUGUUAAGUCACUUGUCCAGUGUCACACAACUAGCAAGAUGACUCCUAAGUCUGUGUCUCUAACCCCUACAUUAUACCCCUGAAGCCCAUCACAUGUUAAGAAUUCCUGCUUGAGUGUAGUGGUUUUCAGAAUUUGAAAGCAUACUUCUAUGAAAAAUGAUAUAUCCCCUUGCAUGCUUUUAAGAUGACAUUUAAAAAUUUCACAUCAUAAGUUUAAACAAUUGUAAAUAAUAUGAUUUCCAGUACAUGGUAGAUUGUGACAUUGUAAAAUGUGCUUCAUCAUUCUAUGUGUAUUUAGUAGAGUCUAAAUACUUUGCUGAUUUAAAUCUACUAUCAUCCAGUUAAAAAAUAAACUUUUCUUUCACAUUAAAAAUUUUACAUCUUUUGUUGUAUUCCAUUUUAAAAAAAUGAUAUUUAAAUGGUAGCGUACAGCUGUUUCUGUGUGCUUGAUGCUAUUGUUUCUUAAGUUCCUCCUAGAUCCAUUCAGAAAGAGGGAAAAGGAAGAUGUCGACAUCCCAAAAUACUUUUCAUUGUUCAACCCAGAAGAUAAAUCCUUCCUAUUCAGUUCUGCUGGUGAUCAAUGUUGUAUGAAUGCGCAGCAGAGAGUCACCUCAAACAUAUAUAGACUCUGCAGUACAUCAGGCACAGAUAAAGUUGCUAUUAAAAGCAAUGUACUCUUCCCUCCCCCACGUAUGUCUGGGGCCACUUUUGUUUGGCAUUUACGCUCCCUCAUGUUAUUGCAAAACCAUAUCCUGGAGUCUGGCUAACUCAGUUUUCCCUUCACUACAUUGGAUGUAAUUUUUACAUCAAGGUGUUCCUAGACUAGACAGAGUUAGAGUUCAGCUUCUUCUAGACAAAGUGUUUAAAUUUGACUAGACAGCAGCAAUUCCUUUUUAAUCUAAGCAAACUGAUGUGUCAAAGGCAAUCAGCUCAGGGAAGUUAUUCCAGAAGGAUCCUAAUAAUCCCAGUGAAUCACACCACCCUAUGUGAAACUCAGCCACUGAACUCUUGACAUAGCGUGUUACGAGUACUUAGAGGAAUAAGUACAUACAGCUGAACUCUGUGUUGACACACAAACUCUAGUCUCUCGUGCAUAAGCUAAUGUUCACUGUGUUUUGUCUGGGGGAGGAGCAAGCUGUUCCCUGGUGAUAUCCAUUCAUGUUUAAUGAUACCACAUCAACAAGGCUUCAUGUUGCAUAACCCACUGUCUUUACAAGCACUUAUCGACAGUGUGCUUGAUGCCUCUGUAUGUAAAUAAAGUUGUUGGCUUUUUAUUAAAAAAAAAAAAAAUCUUUCAUAGAA